AGAGUUUGAUCCUGGCUCAGGAUGAACGCUGGCGGCGUGCCUAAUACAUGCAAGUCGAACGGGGUGUUUGAGUAAUCGAACACUUAGUGGCGAACGGGUGAGUAACGCGUUGGUGACCUGCCCCAAAGCGGGGGAUAACAGCCUGAAAGGGUUGCUAAUACCGCAUAUGGUCUAGAGGGCUUAGAAGCUUUAGAUUAAAGGAGAAAUCCACUUUGGGAGGGGCCUGCGUCCCAUCAGCUAGUUGGUAGAGUAAAAGCCUACCAAGGCGAUGACGGGUAGGGGACCUGAGAGGGUGACCCCCCACAAUGGAACUGAAACACGGUCCAUACACCUACGGGUGGCAGCAGUAGGGAAUAUUGCACCAUGGGCGCAAGCCUGAUGCAGCAACGCCGCGUGAGUGAUGAAGGCCCUCGGGUCGUAAAACUCUUUUCAAGAGGAAGAGGAAGGACGGUACUCUUGGAAUAAGCCUCGGCUAACUACGUGCCAGCAGCCGCGGUAACACGUAGGAGGCGAGCGUUAUUCGGAUUUACUGGGCGUAAAGCGCGUGUAGGCGGCUUUAUAAGUUGGAUGUGAAAGCUCCCGGCUUAACUGGGAGAGGACGUUCAAAACUAUAGAGCUUGAGUACGAGAGAGGAAAAUGGAAUUCCGGGUGUAGUGGUGGAAUGCGUAGAUAUCCGGAGGAACACCAGUGGCGAAGGCGAUUUUCUGGCUCGAGACUGACGCUCAGACGCGAAAGCUAGGGUAGCAAACGGGAUUAGAGACCCCGGUAGUCCUAGCUGUAAACGAUGUAGACUAGGCGUUGGUGGAGUAAAAUCCAUCAGUGCCGCAGCAAACGCGAUAAGUCUACCGCCUGGGGACUACGGCCGCAAGGUUAAAACUCAAAGGAAUUGACGGGGCCCC
rnacentral:rRNA from 1 species